rnacentral:lncRNA from 1 species
AAACAUUUUGAAAAAGAGUCAUUUUCCUAAACCAGGCGCCCACUUGUAUAACGAGAGGAAUACAUUUUGUUGAACCCAGGCGCCCACCUGAAUAACGAGAGGAAUACAUUUCAGUAUUUGCAUUUCAUGUUCCAGGCGCCCACCUGUAUAACGAGAGGAAUACAUUUCAGUAUUUGCAUUCCUAAAACCAGGCACCCACCUGUAUAACGAGAGGAAUACAUUUCAGUUUUACUUUCAAGUGUUGAAAUUGGGAGCCCGCCCAUAAUAACAGAGGCAUACAUUCAGUUUUUACUUUCAAGUGUUGAAGUUGGGAGCCCGCCUAGAUAACAGAGGCAUACAUUUCAGUCUUUACUUUUCAAGUGUUGAAGUUGGGAGCCCGCCCAUAGAACAGAGGAAUACAUUUCAGUCCUUACAUUUCAAGCAUUGAAGUUAGGCGCCCACCUGUAUAACAAGGGAAUAAAUCCUAAUCUAGUGUUUAGUUCACUCUCAGCACUGCAUCAGUAGUAUCAGUGGGCUACGAUUUUGCUAACGACUCACAAACCUCCCCAGUGCAAACUGGGUUAGGAAAUUUUGUUUGUUUUGUUUGUUUUGAUUGUCAGGAACCCGCCUGUAGAACGGAGUUUGUGGUAUGUCAAAGAUCGAAGAAGUCAGGAGUCUGCCUGUCAAAGAUCAAGCAGUAACCGACUGGAAAGCAGAAGGAUUACAACAGAAAUCCCCAGCAUUCAAUCCAAGUUAGAAGCUCGCCUCAAGAACGCGAAUCAAUAGUCUGGGAUGAUCAACAGAAGCUGGUCACAAAAA